rnacentral:rRNA from 1 species
AUAGGAAUCUCCCCAAUGGUGUGGAAUACCUCAUCGAAAGAUGGGCUAAUACCGCAUGACCCAAGCAAUUGGAAAAGCGCAUAACUGCGCGCCGAUGGAUGAGCCUAUUUCCCAUCAGCUUGUUGGUAGGGUAAAAGCCUACCAAGGCUAUGACGGGUAGGGGGCGUGAGAGCGUGACCCCCCAGAAUGGGACUGAGAACGGCC